CCCUGGUAACGCGCCUCGGGCAGGUUCCUCAGCAUGAACGUCCGGGUCGCGCGGGCUGCGUGGGCCUGGGGCCGGGGCGUGAGCUGCCGCCGUGGCGCCUCGAGCCUCCUGCUGCCUCCCCCGGGCGCGGUGGACGUGGAGGAGCUGCUGCGAGAUGCGACAGCGGCGGAGGAAGGGCCCCGGGAGGCCUCGGUGCGGCGGUUGCCGGGCCAGUGCUCGGUGCUGCUCUUCCCCGGUCAGGGCAGCCAGAUGGUGGGCAUGGGCCGCGGUCUGCUCCGCUACCCGCGCGUCCGCGAGCUCUACGCCGCCGCCCGCCGGGUGCUGGGCUACGACUUGCUGGAGCUGAGCCUGCAUGGGCCGCAGGAGGCCCUGGACCGCACCGUGCACUGCCAGCCCGCCGUCUUCGUGGCUUCGCUGGCCGCCGUCGAAAAACUGCAUCACCUGCAGCCCGCGGUUAUUGAAAACUGUGUUGCUGCUGCUGGAUUCAGUGUGGGAGAAUUUGCAGCCCUAGUGUUUGCUGGAGCCAUGGAAUUUUGUGAAGGUUUGUAUGCAGUGAAAAUCCGAGCUGAGGCCAUGCAGGAAGCCUCGGAAGCUGUCCCCAGUGGGAUGUUGUCCGUCCUCGGCCAGCCUCAGUCCAAGUUCACCUUUGCCUGUCUGGAAGCCCAGGAGCACUGCAAGACUUUGGGCAUAGAGAACCCCGUGUGCGAGGUGUCCAACUACCUCUUUCCUGACUGCAGGGUGAUCUCAGGACACCUGGAGGUGUCUGUUUUUGCACCUUUCCUUCUGUCCGUCCUUCCGCUCACUGCUGCCCCAGACAUCCUUUCUCGGGAGCUCCUGUGUGGCAAGCGCUGAGGACACACGGACGCAUCAGCUGGGGUUCCUGCUGUCAAGGGAAGGCUGGCUGUGAACGGAUGACUCCAGGUUUCAGGGCACAGUAAGGGCCAGGCUGACUACCAGGGUGCCAGGAGGCGGUGCCUGGAGGAUGAGGUUGCCAAGAGCAGGGGCAUCCCAGGCAGAUAGGAGCGCCCGACGGAAGGGGCAGUUCUGUACCGUGUGCCUGGCUUGGGAGCGUUGAGUGCAGACUGGAUGGGUGCUUCCCCAUCUCGUCUCCUCGGUCCUCCGUCUGGUUCUGUGCUCCGUGGACGGGAGCUCUACACCGGGAAGCGGAGGCAGAGAGCCAAGUGCUUAGUGGUGGUGGAGGCAGGCUGAGAUCUCCCGUCCAUGUCCCUCCGAAGUCCAGGUUUCCUCCACUUGACCAUGCUGGUUCAUCUCCCUGUUAAGGCCUUGCCAGUACGCAGGUGUCCUUACGUAUCUCCUCUGAUUCAGUGAGAGCCUCUGGGGCAGUUCUGAGAUGACGGGAAGACCAGCUACGGUGGCCCCAAGCGAAUCACGGAGCUGGUUGCUUAUUCCCAUUAAUAGCCUUGGAAGGAAGCCCAUAAGUGGGCCAGGAGGGGCCCCCCAGUCAAGGCAGGAGUCUCCCUCCCAGGCUCCCAGACAGGUGGGCAUCCAGCGCAGGUGGCGUUUCCUGGGAUUCCCAGGUUUGGCCUUUGGUGCUGUUGGAAGUGCUACAGCAAAGAGCUCAGGUGCGGGCAGGGUCCCCUGAGCAGGUGAGUCCCUUUCCAACAGUGGAUGUGAAAAAACUCCUUGCCCUUUGCUAGAACCAUGCCUGGCCUGACAGCCAGCCAAAGGAGCCUCUGGACCCUGAGGCUGUGUCCUUGACUCCUGUGGCCCCGACCUGGGACUUGAGUUGGAUGAAUCCAGAGACUUCCCACGGAAAGCACUUAGAGACCGUGGCAGUGGUGCAGAAGUGCCACCGAGUAGCUGUCUCCGUAGAUGCCGGUGAUCAGAAGUGUCCAGGCAUGGUGGGAAGGGCUUGGGCUGUGAAGUCCAAGAGUCUCCCGUUCAGAGAGGCGCUGGGGGCGCAUCCCUCAGCGAGGUGGGGAUGGAUGGCGCGUGGAAUUGGGUGUGAAGCGCCAGGCCAGUCAGGUCAGGCUAGACUCUGCUGCAGUGACAGCCCAGACCCCUCCGUGCUUGCCACACGCAUGGUUCACACUCCAUGACAGUUCGCUGUGCUGGGCUCUGCCCCACUUGGAUUUCGCCCCAAGGCUCAGGCGGCCGAGCAGCCUCGGUGUGGAACAGGUGGACUCACUCGCGGCAGAGGGAAGUGGCGUGUGAUGAGCCUGGGCUGAACUGGCCGUGCCUGGGCAGCAGGCUAAACUCCUGCGGGGCGGGGCCCACAGAGAGGGACGGGCGAGCACCACCCAACCAAAAACACUGUAAUCCCUCCCGCCCUCCGGGGCGCAAGGGGCUAUAGCUACCCUGCUGUAUGCUUUCGUUUUUGUUUUUUUUUUGCCGUGCCGCACAACUUGCAGGACCUCAGUUCCUCAGUCAGGGAUUGAACCCGGGCCACGGUAGUGAAAGCCUGGAAGCCUAACCUCUAGGCCCCCAGGGAACUCCAGACCCUGCCGUAUUUUUUCCAGUGGACGUGGAUGGGCUUGGGAACAAGUUAACAAUUGCUACCCUUCUAUAGGGUUUGUAUACCAAGCAUAGUUCUUCACAGCCCUAUGAGAUAACUCUUGUUGUCAUCACCGUUUUACAGGUGAGGAAACUAAGGCACCGACAGGUAAAGUACAAGUGCCCAAGGUCGUGCAGCUGCCAUGACUUAAGCUUGAGUCUUCUGGAGCAGCUGGCCCAGCUCCUGAGCAGGCCGUGGAUGGUGUCAGGCUGGAGGGACGUGGCAGACGUUUAGUGCGUAGGAAGGCCUUUGGUGGAUCCCAGUGACGGGCUGGCAGGGUGGUAGGCCUUGGGCUGUGUCCUGAGGGCACAGGGUCUCUGAAGAAUGUGUACUAUUGUAAAGAUGUUGGCACGUGGUUCUAAGUUUGGGCCUGUUAGUCCCAGAGGCCCCUUUUAAUCAAGCUCUUGUGUCUUCUCUAGAGAACCCCACAUGAGGGGUUUCAGACCUUGGAUUGUAAAAUGAGGCUUGGAAUCUUGUGAAUUUUCAUCUUGAAGGUUAUGGAGUAACAAGAAAACAGGCUUAAAAAAAUAAUGAAGAGGGCUUCGCUGGUGGCGCAGUGGCUGAGAAUCUGCCUGCCGAUGCAGGGGACGCGGGUUCGUGCCCCGGUCCGGGAGGAUCCCACAUGCCGCGGAGCGGCUGGGCCCGUGAGCCACGGCCGCUGAGCCUGCGCGUCCGGAGCCUGUGCUCCGCAACGGGAGAGGCCACGGCAGGGGGAGGCCCGCGUACUGCAAAAAAAAAAAAAAAAAAAAAAUUAUGAAGAGUAGCAGAAUUCUAAUUGAAAAGUAACACUUACUCGAUACUGCUUUUUCGUUCAUCAGAUACCUCCUAUUUGAUCACUUCCCAGCAGCUUUAUGGGGCUCUGCAGUUUCUCCAGAAGAAUUCCUCCAAGUAUCACUUCAGACGCACCAAGAUGUUGCCGGUUAGCGGUGGGUUCCAUACCAG